GACGAACGCUGGCGGCGUGCUUAACACAUGCAAGUCGAACGGAAAGGCCCUGCUUUUGUGGGGUGCUCGAGUGGCGAAAGGGUGAGUAACACGUGAGUAACCUGCCCUUGACUUUGGGAUAACUUCAUGAAACUGGGGGUAAUACCGGAUAGGAGCUCCUGCUGCAUGGUGGGGGUUGGAAAGUUUCGGCGGUUGGGGAUGGACUCGCGGCUUAUCAGCUUGUUGGUGGGGUAGUGGCUUACCAAGGCUUUGACGGGUAGCCGGCCUGAGAGGGUGACCGGCCACAUUGGGACUGAGAUACGGCCCAGACUCCUACGGGAGGCAGAAGUGGGGAAUAUUGCACAAUGGGCGGAAGCCUGAUGCAGCAACGCCGCGUGCGGGAUGACGGCCUUCGGGUUGUAAACCGCUUUCGCCUGUGACGAAGCGUGAGUGACGGUAAUGGGUAAAGAAGCACCGGCUAACUACGUG
rnacentral:rRNA from 1 species